CGGAAGUGUUUCUGAACAAGCAACAGGAUGGAGAAACCCUGGAGAGAGGAGUCAGGAGUUCCACCUGCUCUGUCAGCCAGCGACUGGUCUCUGCUCCGUUGCUGAAGGUAAAGGUCCUGAGAAAAACCAGCAUCGACCGCAGCUGUCCUCAGGGAUACGUGUACACUCGAGAUAAGCUCCUGGGCACGCUGAGUGAAUGGACAGGCUCUGACUGCACAGCCCUUCCGAGACGGUGCUGCCGGGCUCUGGGGGUGUGGGGCUCCUGCGAAGGUCCUGGUGCAGCCGUCAGGAUCUUCUGCGCCCCACCAGAAGCCCGCCAGGUCAGCGCUGCAAGGAAAGGAACUCAGCAAACUCUGAAAAGAUAUGGAGGAAACUGAACUGCACAUUGCUGAGUGACAGUCUGAAAAGCCUGCAUACUGGAUGAUUCCCACUAGAGGACCUUUCUGGAAAAGGCAAAACUACAGAGGAAAUAAAAA